GAUGAACGCUAGCUACAGGCUUAACACAUGCAAGUCGAGGGGAAACGACAUCGAAAGCUUGCUUUUGAUGGGCGUCGACCGGCGCACGGGUGAGUAACGCGUAUCCAACCUGCCCAUCACUUGGGAAUAACCUUGCGAAAGUAAGACUAAUACCCAAUGACAUCCCACGAAGACAUCUGAAUGGGAUUAAAGAUUUAUCGGUGAUGGAUGGGGAUGCGUCUGAUUAGCUUGUUGGCGGGGUAACAGCCCACCAAGGCAACGAUCAGUAGGGGUUCUGAGAGGAAGGUCCCCCACAUUGGAACUGAGACACGGUCCAAACUCCUACGGGAGGCAGCAGUGAGGAAUAUUGGUCAAUGGGCGAGAGCCUGAACCAGCCAAGUAGCGUGCAGGAUGACGGCCCUAUGGGUUGUAAACUGCUUUUAUAAGGGAAUAAAGUGGGUCUCGUGAGACUUUUUGCAUGUACCUUAUGAAUAAGGACCGGCUAAUUCCGUG
rnacentral:rRNA from 1 species